rnacentral:rRNA from 1 species
UACAGAGGGUGCAAGCGUUAAUCGGAAUUACUGGACGUAAAGCGUGCGCAGGCGGUUUUGUAAGUCAGAUGUGAAAUCCCCGGGCUUAACCUGGGAACUGCGUUUGAAACUGCAAGGCUUGAGUGCGGCAGAGGAGACUGGAAUUCCUGGUGUAGCAGUGAAAUGCGUAGAUAUCAGGAGGAACACCGAUGGCGAAGGCAGGUCUCUGGGCUGACACUGACGCUCA